rnacentral:rRNA from 1 species
AGGCUUUGAUCCUGGCUCAGGACGAACGCUGGCGGCAUGCCUAAUACAUGCAAGUCGAACGCCGACGCACUCUGCUUGCAGAGUGUUGAGGAGUGGCGAACGGGUGAGUAACACGUGGAGAACCUGCCCAUAAGAGGGGGAUAACAUCCGGAAACGGGUGCUAAUACCGCAUAGGUGGCUGGAGCGCAUGCUCUAGUCAUGAAAGACGGCUUCGGCUGUCGCUUAUGGAUGGCUCCGCGGCGUAUUAGCUAGUUGGUGAGGUAAUGGCUCACCAAGGCAGUGAUACGUAGCCGACCUGAGAGGGUGAUCGGCCACACUGGGACUGAGACACGGCCCAGACUCCUACGGGAGGCAGCAGUAGGGAAUCUUCCACAAUGGGCGAAAGCCUGAUGGAGCAAUGCCGCGUGAGUGAAGAAGGUUUUCGGAUCGUAAAGCUCUGUUAUUAGAGAAGAACAAGAGGUGUAGUAACUGGCACCUCCUUGACGGUAUCUUACCAGAAAGUCACGGCUA